rnacentral:misc_RNA from 1 species
AGUGGACCCUUUUGCUGGUUUUCUGAACAGAAAAAGAAAUUAUAAUAUCAGCAGUUUGUUAAACAACACAGAUGCCAAUAUAAUUUCAUUGAGUCAACCACCAUCUGGUGAAAUAGAACAGCAGAUGUACAAAUGUAUUGGUACAGAUCCAACAGAAAUGCAGUUUGUAUUAUUCUUUUUUUUCAUGGGUAUAAUAUACCUCUAGAAUCCAGUCUGAAGAUUGUCUAUUUCCUUUAAAAUAAGAUAACAAAACGUAAAAAGGAUAAAAUAGACCAUGUAAAU